rnacentral:tRNA from 1 species
GGAGGCGUGGCGUAAUAACAUCGCAGGGGAUUGCUAAUCCUUCUUAGGCAGCAAUGUCUAGUCUGAGUUCGACUCUCGGCGUCUCUGCCA